AUUGAACGCUGGCGGCAUGCUUUACACAUGCAAGUCGAACGGCAGCAUGGGUGCUUGCACCUGAUGGCGAGUGGCGAACGGGUGAGUAAUGUAUCGGAACAUAUCCGCAAGUGGGGGAUAACGUAGCGAGAGUUACGCUAAUACCGCAUAUUCCCUGAGGGGGAAAGGAGGGGAUCCGCAAGGACCUUUCGCUUACAGAGUGGCCGAUAUCAGAUUAGCUAGUUGGUGAGGUAAAGGCUAACCAAGGCGACGAUCUGUAGCGGGUCUGAGAGGAUGAUCCGCCACACUGGGACUGAGACACGGCCCAGACUCCUACGGGAGGCAGCAGUGGGGAAUUUUGGACAAUGGGGGCAACCCUGAUCCAGCCAUGCCGCGUGAGUGAAGAAGGCCUUCGGGUUGUAAAGCUCUUUCAGCCGGAAAAAAAUCGCAUCACCUAAUACGUGGUGUGGAUGAUGGUACCGGAAGAAGAAGCACCGGCUAACUACGUGCCAGCCGCCGCGAUAA
rnacentral:rRNA from 1 species